UCUCCUUCUCGCUGCACUGCUUCCCCAAUCUUCUUCCUGGUGAUCAAGGUAUCAAAAUCGAAACAGGUACUUUCGCAGAAGUAUAAUCUUUUCACGUACCUAUAAUCGUUUUGUUUUCACAGUUCCUUCAAUUGCAUUUUCAUUUACAAAAGACUUGUUAACUUAUGCUUCAUAUGCAAAAAUGAAUUGGGUGGUGGCUACGACCCUAUCAUUGUUGUUUUUAACUUUUCAUUAUAUGGUUUGGAAAUAGCAGGUGUGUUGUGAAAGAUGACUUGCAUUGUUAGGGCUGCAUUGAGAUCCAAUUGCAGUUCAAGUGUUUGUGCAUUUGUUCAGAGAAGUUUUGGCCUCCCUGUGAGGUGUUUCUCCACUGAAGCAGAACAGCCACCUCUGAAUUCAACUACCCCUCUUCCAUUCUUGGACGUUGAUCAUUCUGGUACCACCCUAUUUAUGCAUUUAUCCUCCCAUUUCUAUCGCUCUUAGACUUGCUUUAGCUUUUACGAAAAAACUGUUCUACCGCAGCUCGAGGUUAUAAAUUCCUUGACAUUACAGGAAAAUGCGGACAAAAGUGGCUGAUGCAGCCACAAAAAUGUCAGAGACUCCAAAAACCUUGACAUUGUGGCCAAAAUUGUGGUCACAGUUGUCGACUAAUAUCUAAAACCUUGUUGCUGCUGUUACUUUUAGGACUCGCUCGGUGGCUAGCAUAUGAUAUAAUCGGAUAAUUAAACUAUAAAACAAUAGCGGUUCUAAUGAGUUGUUUGGUUUUGGGGAUAAUUAUUUGUACCAUAGCAAGUAUCACUAGCACUACAUGGUCACUACUACCAUUAGUGUCACUAAAUCUUUCAUCAUCAAUGUCACCCUUGUUGUCAUAACAGACAUUACUCUCACCAUUAUUGCUAUCAGUCACUAUCAUCGAUGUUGUUAGGAAUUCAAGGUGACUUCAAGUCCCACAUUGAAUCAAAAUGAGUAAGAUGAUGACUAGUAUAUAAAUAGAAGAACCCAUAAACCUAUUGCCUUAAUGUUUUGUGUCAGAAGUGGUGUCUUUGUCUCAUAUAUGACCUUAUUCACGACUCAUUGGUGAUGAAUCUUCCAACGUCUUCCCUCAGAAAAACCUCACAGUUGUCACCAUCAUUUCUUUAUUAUACUUUCAUCAUUGUUACUAUUGUGAUUAUCACUUGCAUCUUUCUCAUCGUGCUUACCAUUUGCUACCAUCUCAUUAUUGAUGUUGUAUUGUAACUAUUUGUAGGAGUAGAAAGGGUGAUAAUUUACUUUAAAUUAAGAGACUUGUGCAAUAUUUGUAACAAUAAACAAAAGAUUUAAUAUAUUAAGUAUGUUAAUAUAUUAAUUUAGUUCUUUUGUUUUAUAAAAUUAUCAAAUUAGAGAUUGUUUGUUAGAAAGAAAAUUUGUAAGGAAAGAAAAAAGUGGGCUUAUCAUUCAUUUCUAAGUAAUAGUGAUUUAUUCAAAUGAGGAACGCCAUGUUAGAUUAUCUUGUAACCUUCUAAUUAUUGUAUAUAUAGUUCUUUAAAGUUUAUUUGUGUCUUACAUGAGGCCCAUGGUAAGCUUUACAAGGGGGAGAGGAGAUAAGAGUGAGAAAGGAGGAGUGCAUCCCUUUCUCACUAAUUGUUAAUUUCAAAUAGGUUAAUGUAUAUUUUUCAAUUAAUUGGGAUGCUAGGAAAAAUCUUCCUUCUCCAUGUCCUCAUCAUCAUUAUUGUCAUUGUUUUAAGUUUUUGCUCAAUCCUCAUGUCUAUUCAUGUGUUCUAACAUUCAAAAGCCAAAUAGUUUUCAGAUUUGACAAUGUGAAAAUAGUAAAUGCAUGAGAAUAUAGAAAUUUGACAUACAGUAUAUAUCAUUGAUGCUAGUGACUAUAUUUUUGUAUACGUUUGGAUUUUGAAAAUAAGAUGUUAGGUUUCUAACCAAUUCACUGCUAGCCAUGUUAUUUAAAUAAUACCUUUCAACACUUUACAGUUCUUUUAUUUUAAAUAAUUUCCAUCCUAGGUAAUGACUGUUUUCCUUUCUCUUUCUUUCUUUAGGAGUGACAUAUGGUAGGCUGCUUGGUAUCCGUAAACAUGCACUGAAAACAGAUAUCAUCAACUUCCUUGAAGGUUGUAAUUUGACUCUGGAGGAUGUUAAAUUUGAUUACAACCGUAGCCUUAUACCAGUUUCAACGUAAUGUAUUCCAUCUUUUGUCUUGCUUUUGGGGUAUUGUGAAAGUUAUUUUUGUCAUAUAAUCAGUGCAUUUUCAUGCCUAUGACAGGGAAUUGCAUUUUCUUUUCUUUUUCUUUUACUCUAAAUGAUGUUUCCGAAAACUAAAGAGAAAGUUCAAUUUAAUUAUAUACUUGUUUGUAACAUGUCGUGCUCUCAGAAUUUGGACUUUCAAGCCCUAAAAUCCUAUAAAACAACCAACUUGUCAGGAGAGGAUUGUCCAAUAUAUAUAUAUAUAUAUAUAUAUAUAUAUAUAUAUAUAUAUAUAUAUAUAUUAUAUAGUUCUAGUUAAGUCAUAUUUUUAGUCACUGAAACUAAACACCAUAAAAAACACCACUUUGAACUGUAAUUAAGGUGCCGUUCAAAAUAUGGAGUGCUAGAUUUUGUCAUACUCGUCUUGUUAUAUGAACCCAUGUAUUUCAUUAAAGACAAGUAGAAAUAAUCCCAAUUGCUGAGGUAAAAUCAGAAUACAGGAAAAGUGAAUGGAUAAAGAGUAGCCUUUUUGAGGGUGUGCCAGCCUUCCUUUACAAUCCUUAUCCAAUUAUUGCCUACCUAUUUCUUCCUUCUUCCCUUUUAUUCUAACCAAUUUACUUAUGUUUUUCUUCCUCAAUUGCUACAAUUAGCAUUUCAUUAUUACCUCGGUUCAUCCUCAUGACUCUCCGUAAUCAUCUAGCAUAGCUAACAUCCUGAAGUGGAUUAUCAUUGUGUUUUCUAAAUGGGCCUCAUCUUAGAUUCAAUACUUGAAAUUAUCAUUUAAAGGUUUUGGGUAUAAUCAGGUUAUUGCAAUUCCCUUCUCGUGAUUCCUAUGACAAUGCUAUAAGGGUGAUUGUAAGGAAGGGUCGCCUCUACAAAUUGGAUAGGGUAUGCUGCUCUGCUCACAUGUCUUUUUUCUAAAAUCAUUUUCUUUUUUAUAUUUGUUUAUAAUUGGAAACUGUUUGAUAUUUUUUCCUUUUUCUAAUAUCAGGCUGAUCGAUCCCAAUGGGACAUAGUAAAGCCAUAUGAUGGAAAAACUGUCAGUACAGAUUCUUACCUAUCUUUGCUUAUCUUGUUUUUUGAAUACUAAUUAUUUUUUGAUGUUUGUAAUAUAUUUUAACUGUCCAAAUGCUGAAAUUGUUAGAUGUUGUGUUUUGAAAAUUUUGAUUGAGUAAAAUAGAGAGCAUGAUGUAAGACAGUUUUUUCCCAUAACCAUAAGGUUCUCUUAUUGUUCGAUUUUUAAGUUGUGAGUAAAUCACUCCAAAUUGGAGGUAAAUUCUUAAAAGUUUUAAUCUUUUAUGUAAGACUACGUCUUUAUUCUUUGUUAAAUUUAGAACAUUUGUUCAUUUUGUUGACUUCUAUAAUUAAGGAAUGUUAAUUGAGCACAUUUUCAAGAAUUCCUUGAAAUUAAAGUACCAAGGAUAAUGGAAAAGGAUCCGAGAAAUGUAAUUCUGUUGUAUGAGGAAAAACAUGAGAAUAAAAAUUAUUCAUGAAUGUCUAAAAAUCUGAAGCUUGAACCGUCUCAAACAAAAAAUUUCUUCCCUUAAGAUUUUGAAAGUUUAGGGUGUUGUUAUAGUCAUGAUCCCAUCCAGGUUGGCAUCCUAUGUUAUAUCAAUUAUUUGCAGCUUACCAAAAAGGUAUAAAAAAAAAGGAAAGAAAUACAAAAUAGUAGGGGGACUAUACCAAAACCUACUCAAGAACCAAAUCUAUAAUAAGGUUGAGAACAACUAUUUCUUGAUAAAUCAUAUCUAAGAAAAUCCAAAAUGUCAUUAUACCAGUGAUUAUAUCUUUGAAUUGCACCGAAGCAUGCAAGUUUAUCAGCAAUCUGGUUUAGUUUGGAAAUUACAUUGGGCUCUAUGGCCUGAAGCAAUCACUUUGAGCUUGGUUGGGUAAAUUAAUUUUGAUUUUGUUGAUUUUUGGACUGGAAUGGAGUGAGGCAAAUCAUUUAGUGUUUACUGUCAUACUCAUCAUGGGAAGUGUGUUUAUCUUAUGCUCUUUGUUGAUGCUAUUGUUAUUACAUGGAUAGAUAUCACUAGAAUUGCUCAAUUAAAACAACAUUUAUUGUGCAUCUUUAAUACCAAAGAUUUGGACUAACUAAAAUAUUUUUUAUUAUUGAAGUGACACAGUCAAGAGGUGUUAUCGUUUCACAAAGAAAAUAUGCUCUUGGUAUUUUGCAGGAUACAAACUUAGCAAAUUGUAGGCCCAUUGAUAGUCCUAUGGACUCAAACUCUAAUGUUAAUGAGAAACCACUAUGAAAUUUUCUCAAACCUAGAGAGAUAUAGGAUGUUGGUGGAAAAACUCAUUUAUAUCACAAUGAUAAGAGCAGAUCUUUCUUAUCCAUUGUGAGUUAUGAGUCAAUUUAUGCAUAACCCUCACAUAACAUUGAUUACUAGAAUAUUGUGAUUCACAUUCUCAUAUAUGCAUAAGGGAUCCCACGAUAGGGAUUGUUGUAUGAGAACAAGGCAGUGUUAUCAAAUUUUGGCCAUGGCGAUGCUAUGGCGGAAACCGGUAAUAGUUUCCCAACCUGCAGCCACAAUAAGGUACUGGCGAAGCAAAUUUUCUGUGGUGGUCUUGUGGCUGCUUAGCGUGCGGUGGUGGAAAAAGCAGGCUGGAGAUAGAAGAAGACAACUAAUUCCAUCAAUUUACCAAUUAACAACUAAUUCCUAAUUUGGUUCCUUCUAUCCUGCACCCAUUAUAUCCUAUCAAAUACACUGAUUUUCCUUUAUCUUUUUUGUUUAAGUAAAUGAAUACGAAGAUUCUAAAUAUAUUUUUCUUUUAAUUACUAUAAAGAUAUUAAAAAUAUUUUUAUACUAAUAAUCCUUUAUUUACCACAAGUUACGACAUCAAAUUUAUUCAGUUUAUUUAUGCAUGACUUAUUGAAUGCAUUAUGAUCGCUUGAAUUCUCAGUAUGGAAGAAGUACCAAGAUUGUGGUGCGAAUUCCAUCAAGAUUUGGUAUUUAGUGUUGUACUUCCAUUUACCACUGUUGUGUGAUAUGCUGGCUGAGACUGAACUUAUAUUUAGAAUAACUUUUUAAACUGAAGGAUACUAGUUGAAGUGUUAUAAUUUUUGUUUCAUGCAAACAUUACUAUGGAAAUAGCACAUUUACCUAACAGUGUCUAAUUUCUUUUUUUUAAGAUUUUGAUUCAAGGAAUGCCUCGAACUGCUAAUUUUGAAGAUGUAGUGCGAACCCUGUCUGGUUGUGAAUAUGAUUCCAACUCCAUCAACUUGUUUUUGAGGUAAACAUCAAAUACACUUCAAAUUUUAUAUUUUGUUUUAGAGUUAAACCUGUUUUUAGUCAUUAUAAAUAGGGCAGUUUUUAGUUUGGUUAAGAAUGUGUGUCUAAACUUCUUCAUACGUAUAGGAGAAGAUAAAAUUAAUAUAAGUGAGAAAACUUCUACUAAUUACUACUUUACGCUUUAGUUAAAAAUCUUAUUUUUGAGAAACUAACGAGAGAACCCUAAAUGCAUAAAUCAAUUUUAGUUUAUGGAGACGUUUAGUGCAUUUCUUAUUUUCUUCUCUACAAUUGCUUUUAGUCACCUUAAUGGAAAUGUAUCAUGUGUGAUCCCCAUUUUCAAAGGAGACCCAAAAGAGAAAAACUUCUGUGGUGGACAAGGAUCACACUUGACACAUUUUUCGUAAGCUAAUGGAUCAGAUGCGGUCGUUUUAGUUUUAGGGUCUCAAGGUGAACAGUUCUGCAUUGAUAAGGACUAAAUUAGUGUUUAAACCCUCUCAUGUAUUCUUAGAAAGAAAUGGUUGGAAUACACUAUUAACAUUCUGAAAACACACUCAUUUAUUGAAAUUUACUGAAAAUCACAAAUGUUGGCAGGUCUCACUUUAUCUAAGGAUCUCUCUCAAUUUUGUACUUUAAUAAAUUCUAUCUUUGUUCCCAACCCUCCUCUCCUCCGGAACCACAUUCUCGGGAACAUUAUUCCCGAAAAAUCCUAGUAGUUUAUAAAAGAAAUAGAGUUUAUUUAAUUGAACAAAAAGGGAUGAAGUGAGGAGGUAGGUAAUUGUUGUAGAAAGUAACUUCUAUUUUAAUGGGAAUACAAAAUACUUAGGUAAUGGAAUAAGGAGUAACACAAAAGUGUAAUUUAUAUUCCUUUGCAAGAACCAUUCCUGAGAAUGUGUUUACAAAACUGUCUCAAACAUGAGAAUAUCAUAUUCUCAAGUUCACUUUCUCGAUGCCUUGAAACAAACGGCUGCUUGGAUUAUAUUCUCAAAAUGGUAAUUAUUUUCUUACUUUCAGGCGAGGAGAAGAGUGGGCUGCAGAACCUAUUAAAUUGGCCACAGUGCGUUUCCAUUCAAGGACUCAAGCAAUGAAUGCAUUCAUCGCAAAAAAUGGAACCUUUUGCCAAAACAGUCGCAUUUCGGUACAAGUUUUGCAGUAAUUUAUGCCCCUUACUGGUGCUAGUAUUAUAUUACUACUACUUUAACAGAGGCUAGAGUAUUUAACUAGUUUUACUGGUGCUAGUAUUAUAUUACUAUUACUUUAACAGAGCCUAGAGUAUUUAACUAGUUUUUUUCAUUUCAUGGUCAUUUGGGAUUUUCAUAAUGUCUCUGGUUUAAGGUGAUGCAAGGAAAUGUUAAAAGUGUGGUAAAAUGUCUACCUUGCGUAGUAACACUUGACAUUAGUUGAUUGGUUAGUGAAGAGGUUGGUUCUUCUUUAUAUUGAAAUGUGUUUUUAUGUACCCAAUUAUUCAACGUUUUCCAAUGACAUGAAAUCGUGGUGUUGAUUCUAUGAGAAUUUGACUUUUCAAAUUCUAUAUAUCAGUGUGUCUUGGUAUUUGCAUGCUGAUAUAAAACUAGCAACUUUCCAGUUAUUAAUUAUACGUAAGUUUGCGUAGGCUAGUUCUUUGAAAAAAUAUGUGUGGAUAUUUUGUUAGAAAGUUAUGUAAAUAUGUUAGCAAACACAUAAAUGUGCAGCAGAAAUUAUUGCCAGUCAUGAAUUUGGUUAAGAAUGUGAUGAAGUUUCCAGAGAGGAAGAGUUAAAUUCAAAAAGGAAUAUUGAAGAAACAACUUAUUUCCAGAAAGAAAUAUUAGACACCCGUAAAAGAAUUAUUUUCACAUUUAUAACCUACUAAGAAUAAUAUAUUAACUUGAGCUAAAAUUAUGGCAAGUAUUGUGGGAUGACUCCUCUAAGGUGAAAAAGACACACUUAGGUUAAAGUACAGUAACGAUGGUAAAUUGCAAAUGAUUUUGAAGUUGCCAAUUUUUUGCUUCUAACUGCUGAUAAAUUUGGUCUCUAUUAUAAACGGUUGACUUUUGACUUUCUUUGAUCAGUUUUGUCUCAAUUUUAGUUUAGUUAGUUAAAGUUAGAAUUGAUUGACUCUUUAUCUGCACGUUACUUUCAUCUUAAAUUGAAGAGUUUAAGUUUUGAAAUUAUUUGAUUUAUCAAAAAAACUCCACAAAAAUACCAAUACUAAGUCAAAACUUCAAAAUAACGUAAUAUUUGCUAGAAAAUUUCAAGAGCUGUUUUUAUCAUAUAUUUAAACAAUUAAUUUUAAUUUGAUCAUUUUAUCUUUAAAUAACAUGAUUUUAGAAAACUUAUCAUGCUUACAUCAUGUGCAUAAUUGAUAAUCUCAUCAUGCAGUCAUGCAGUUGAAAAAGCAGGUCUAAUUGUAGUUACAUGUACAGUGAUAAAUGACCAAAUCUUAUUCUCAUUCAUUUGGUUCUAUUGAUGGACAUUUCAUUUCCUUAAAAGAGUUUAACAAUAUUUAUCCAUAGUUUUAUUCAUACUUUAGAUUUUACUCUUUCAUUACAUAAUUUGGUUUCACUACAUUCUAAAUAAUGACGUCCUAACAUUGUGCUAAAUCAUAGGACUUUUUGAGAAAUUUAUUGCAUGUAAUGUUAAUAAUCAAACCAUUAGAGCAAAAGUUCAACAUCUUGAUAUUUUAAUUGAGCACAUAAAUAUAAUGUUUAAUAUAUUUGUUGGUUUCUAGUCAGUUUUAUUUAAAAUAGUCUUCGAUUUUUGAUAUAAUGUCUCCGUGAAUUAUGAGUGAAUGAAUGAAAUGUAACUUUUUCACGUAUGUAACAACUUAAACCAAGGUUGAUGUGGAUAUGUGGAAUUUUAAAGUGGUUUCUAUGAUGAGGGCAUUUGACUUUGUUGUUGAAGUGGAGGUGCAGAAGUUAGAUCACAUAGGUAGAAAAUGAAAGUCUUAUUAAAUGCACUUGUGUUAAACGUACUAAAAGUUACAAACAUUGUUGUUCCAAAAGUAUAUAUUAAAAAAAUAUCUCACUAAAUAGGAAAAGUCUUACAUAGACUAAAAACGAAGUUUUCAUCCAACAAUGAAACACUUAUGAAUUGUUAGGUAUCUCUAAUAUAAUGCUUAAACAAUCAAAUACUGCUUAGAAGUGAAAUUAUGAAAUGCUUAUAGUUGCUCUAAACACAUAUUAAAUGACAAAACUGAUAAGAUAAGAAAAGGAACAUAUCUACUUACAUCCAUAUCUACUCAUAUUUAGAUACAUCCAUAUCUAUUCUACUAUAUAGAGAUUAUCUAUGUGAAAUAUCUACAUUCAAAUUAGAAUUAGAAGUAGACAUUAGAAACAAAUAAAACAUUCACAUAAUGUUGUCUCUAUCAAAAGUUUUUACAACCUACUUAUAUGUUCUGACAAUUUAGUUAACUUUAGGAGAGAUAUAAACUUUUAAGAAUUACAUAAAUUUGAAUUAAAUAUAGAAAGUUUAUUUGUGCAUAUAUAUAUAUAUAUAUAUAUAUAUAUAUAUAUAUAUAUAUAUAUAUAUAUAUAUAUUGAAUAAAUGUUUGUUGUUUGAAAUCUUAGACUUGUAAUCAUUACUAAAAAAUGUCCACUUGCUUCGAAUUUCCCAACAGAUUAUGUUAUUAUCCUAAUCGCACUCUUCGUUUAUUCUAGUUAUGCAGCUUAGUUUGCAGAUACAAUAACAAAGCACUUGAAAACAAGAAAUUGAAUAUGAAAAAACAAACCCUGCUUCAAAGUAGUACAUAAUAAUGCUAUAGCUUGAAAACCUAUAUAGGGUUACUAGGCUUGAGUGGGUGGAAGGUCUUUGUCUAGGGCUUCUGCGGAGAAAUCUCCAGGCUGUGGAACUUGCUCAUGAGGCAUUCCUUUUGGUUUGCUUCCUUCUUUCUCAUUCAUCUCUUCGUUCCUUCUCACAACUCUUUCUGUUUCUGUUUCUGUUUCUGGGUCAUCAUCAUCAACUACACCUUUCACCUCUUUACCACCGCAUGCCAAUGGCUUUGCCGGCUUCUCCGUCUUCUUCUUCAUUUUCAUCGAUGUUGCAGAAACACCCAAAAGAGAAAACUGUUUUAUUACUCUCUUAUCACUCGGCUGUUGCUUACGUCAACUCAACCGAUUAAGGCUUUGCAUACACGUGGCUACCACCAUGAACUCAGUUACGAACGUCCUUACACCUGGAUAUAUAAUGCUAAAAUACAUGUUAAUUUCUUGUCCUGCGG
rnacentral:lncRNA from 1 species